UACGGAGGAUGCGAGCGUUAUCCGGAUUUAUUGGGUUUAAAGGGUGUGUAGGCGGAAUAUCAAGUCAGCGGUAAAAAUUCGGGGCUCAACCCCGUCGUGCCGUUGAAACUGAUGUUCUUGAGUGGGCGAGAAGUAUGCGGAAUGCGUGGUGUAGCGGUGAAAUGCAUAGAUAUCACGCAGAACUCCGAUUGCGAAGGCAGCAUACCGGCGCCCAACUGACGCUGAAGCACGAAAGCGUGGGUAUCGAACAGG
rnacentral:rRNA from 1 species